rnacentral:rRNA from 1 species
AUUGAACGCUGGCGGCAGGCCUAACAUAUGCAAGUCGAGCGGGGUUUUCGGACCUAGCGGCGGACGGGUGAGUAAUGCGUAGGAAGCUACCCGAUAGAGGGGGAUACCAGUUGGAAACGACUGUUAAUACCGCAUAAUGUCUACGGACCAAAGUGUGGGACCUUCGGGCCACAUGCUAUCGGAUGCGCCUACGUGGGAUUAGCUAGUUGGUGAGGUAAUGGCUCACCAAGGCGACGAUCUCUAGCUGGUUUGAGAGGAUGAUCAGCCACACUGGAACUGAGACACGGUCCAGACUCCUACGGGAGGCAGCAGUGGGGAAUAUUGGACAAUGGGCGCAAGCCUGAUCCAGCCAUGCCGCGUGUGUGAAGAA